rnacentral:rRNA from 1 species
UACGAAGGGGGCUAGCGUUGUUCGGAAUUACUGGGCGUAAAGCGCACGUAGGCGGAUUGUUAAGUCAGAGGUGAAAUCCCGGAGCUCAACUUCGGAACUGCCUUUGAUACUGGCAAUCUAGAGUCCGGAAGAGGUUAGUGGAAUUCCCAGUGUAGAGGUGAAAUUCGUAGAUAUUGGGAAGAACACCAGUGGCGAAGGCGACUCUUUGGCCUGUAACUGACGCUGAGGCGCGAAAGCGUGGGGAGCAAACAGG